rnacentral:tRNA from 1 species
UCCCUAGUGUCUCAGAUGGUAAAGAAUCUGCCUGCAAUGUAGAAGACCCAGGCAUGAUUCCUGGCUCUGGAA